GCUAAUAAAAGACAGCCAUACACCUCCCUUUGGUCACAGGCCAUGAGAAGAUGCUUUCAUUCCAGAGGCCUCAGGCUUCCAGAAACUUCCCCAGCCCCUGGUGCCAUGGGGGUCACUACCUCUGGAGAGUGAUCAGGUCACCCUUUGGGCAUCAUACUUGACACCGCUACUUCCAGCACACAUCUGUUCUUUGGAUGACACCAGGAUGACCUUCAAGUCACAAGAUGGUGGGGGAACCCUAAGACAGAAGAGACUAAUGUCUUAGAGCAGCCAUUGGAGGAAAGCUACCCAGGAGAGCCACGGGUCAGGAACGUGGACAUUCAACUGUGUGUGAGGGAGAAACAUACAUCAACGUUUAAAUAUACAAAAGAAGUAGAGAGCAUAAUAUAAUAACUCAG
rnacentral:lncRNA from 1 species